AGAGUUUGAUCCUGGCUUAGGAUGAACGCUAGCGGCAGGCUUAACACAUGCAAGUCGAGGGGCAGCGGGAUGUAGCAAUACAUUGCCGGCGACCGGCGGAUGGGUGCGUAACGCGUAUGCAACCUACCUUAUACAGGGGAAUAACCUUUCGAAAGGGAGACUAACACCCCAUAGUAUUGAUUUAAGGCAUCUUAGAUUAAUUAAAUAUUUAUAGGUAUAAGAUGGGCAUGCGUACGAUUAGCUAGUUGGUAAGGUAACGGCUUACCAAGGCGACGAUCAUUAGGGGUUCUGAGAGGAAGGUCCCCCCACACUGGUACUGAGACACGGACCAGACUCCUACGGGAGGCAGCAGUGAGGAAUAUUGGUCAAUGGGCGCAAGCCUGAACCAGCCAUGCCGCGUGCAGGAAAGACGGCCUUAUGGGUUGUAAACUGCUUUUACAUAAGACUAACCGUAUAUUUGCGAAUAUACCUGAAUGUAUUAUGAGAAUAAGGAUCGGCUAACUCCGUGCCAGCCGCAGC
rnacentral:rRNA from 1 species